GCAUAUUAAUUUAUGCUUAGUAAUGCAGCCUCAUGUUGAGAUGGUCACAAGCCCAUAUAAAUGCAGAGUGUUUU
rnacentral:ribozyme from 1 species